rnacentral:rRNA from 1 species
GUGGGGAAUAUUGCACAAUGGGGGAAACCCUGAUGCAGCGACGCCGCGUGGAGGAAGAAGUAUUUCGGUACGUAAACUCCUAUCAGCAGGGAAGAAAAUGACGGUACCUGACUAAGAAGCCCCGGCUAACUACGUGCCAGCAGCCGCGGUAAUACGUAGGGGGCGAGCGUUAUCCGGAUUCACUGGGUGUAAAGGGAGCGUAGACGGCGAUGCAAGCCUGAUGUGAAAACCCGCAGCUCAACUGCGGGCCUGCAUUGGGAACUGUAUAGCUGGAGUACUGGAGGGGCAGGCGGAAUUCCUGGUGUAGCGGUGGAAUGCGUAGAUAUCAGGAAGAACACCGGUGGCGAAGGCGGCCUGCUGGACAGAUACUGACGUUGAGGCUCGAAAGCGUGGGGAGCAAACAGGAUUAGAAACCCUAGUAGUCC